rnacentral:rRNA from 1 species
CGGCCGGCCGGCUUCGCCCAUGUGAAGCUCCUUCGACGAGUCGAGUUGUUUGGGAAUGCAGCUCUAAAUGGGUGGUAAAUUUCAUCUAAAGCUAAAUACUGGUCGGAGACCGAUAGCGCACAAGUAGAGUGAUCGAAAGAUGAAAAGCACUUUGAAAAGAGAGUUAAACAGCAUGUGAAAUUGUUGAAAGGGAAGCGCUUGC